rnacentral:pre_miRNA from 1 species
AUGAGGUCAUCAGUGCAGUCUUGUUAAAAGGCAUGUUCUGAUCCAGUAAGUGGAGGGGCUAUGGAAGAAGAUUCUGCAUUUCUAACAAGUUCUCAGAUGCUGCAGCU